rnacentral:rRNA from 1 species
GCAUAUCAAUAAGCGGAGGAAAAGAAACCAACAGGGAUUACCUCAGUAACGGCGAGUGAAGCGGUAAAAGCUCAAAUUUGAAAUCUGGCUCUCUCAGGGUCCGAGUUGUAAUUUGUAGAAGAUGCUUCGGGUGUGGUUCCGGUCUAAGUUCCUUGGAACAGGACGUCAUAGAGGGUGAGAAUCCCGUAUGUGACUGGAUACCUAUGCUCAUGUGAAGCUCUUUCGACGAGUCGAGUUGUUUGGGAAUGCAGCUCAAAAUGGGUGGUAUAUUUCAUCUAAAGCUAAAUAUUGGCCAGAGACCGAUAGCGCACAAGUAGAGUGAUCGAAAGAUGAAAAGCACUUUGGAAAGAGAGUUAAACAGUACGUGAAAUUGUUGAAAGGGAAGCGCUUGCAAUCAGACUUGCACUUGGUGUUCAUCAGGGUUUCGUGCCCUGUGUACUUCAUCAAGUUCAGGCCAGCAUCAGUUUGAGUGGUUAGAUAAAGGCUUGGAGAAUGUGGCCCUCUUCGGGGGGUGUUAUAGCUCCAGGUGCAAUGUAGCCUACUUGGACUGAGGACCGCGCUUCGGCUAGGAUGCUGGCGUAAUGGUUGUAAGCGACCCGUCUUGAAACACGGACCAAGGAGUGUACCUAAUAUGCGAGUGUUUGGGUGUUAAACCCAUACGCGUAAUGAAAGUGAACGCUGGUGAGAACCCUCAAGGGUGCAUCAUCGACCGAUCUUGAUGUCUUCGGAUGGAUUUGAGUAAGAGCAUAUUGGGUGCGACCCGAAAGAUGAUGAUCUAUACGUGAAUAGGGUGAAGCCAGAGGAAACUCUGGUGGAGGCUCGCAGCGGUUCUGACGUGCAAAUCGAUCGUCAAAUUUGCGUAUAGGGGYGAAAGACUAAUCGAAUCAUCUAGUAGCUGGUUCCUGCCGAA